rnacentral:rRNA from 1 species
UACGGGGGGGGCAAGCGUUGGUCGGAAUUACUGGGCGUAAAGGGCUCGUAGGCGGCCAACUAAGUCGGACGUGAAAUCCCUCAGCUUAACUGGGGAACUGCGUCCGAUACUGGAUGGCUUGGAUUUGGGAGAGGGAUGCGGAAUUCCAGGUGUAGCGGUGAAAUGCGUAGAUAUCUGGAGGAACACCGGUGGCGAAGGCGGCAUCCUGGACCAAUAUUGACGCUGAGGAGCGAAAGCCAGGGGAGCAAACGGG